rnacentral:rRNA from 1 species
AGUGAACGCUGGCGGUAGGCCUAACACAUGCAAGUCGAACGGCCGCACAGUACGUUCUUGCUCUUACUGUUUUCGCGUUUCGUACUUUUGCUUCAUCCAUCGUCAUCUACUUUUUCUUGGGUGAUAACGUAUGUACACUUACGCUACUACCUCAUACUACCUACUUUUUAAAUCAUGGUUUCUUCGUACCUUUCGCGUUUGUAUUAGCCGAUGUCGGAUUAGCUAUUUGGCGUGGUAACGGCCCACCAAGGCGACGAUCCGUAGCUGGUCUGAGAGGAUGAUCAGCCACACUGGAACGGAGACACGGACAAGAGUACUACGGGAGGCAGCAGUGGGGAAUAUUGGACAAUGGGCGAAAGCCUGAUACAGAAAUACCGAGUGGGUGAAGAAGGACUUCGGGUUGUAAAGACAUGUUGUUGGGAAAGAAAAGCAGCAGGUUAAUAACACGCUGUUCUGACGGUACCCAAAGAAUAAGCACCGGCUAACUUCGUG